CCUCAAUAAUUAUAAAUAUUAAACACCAUCAAGGUGGUCUCUGAUGAAAUUAAUCCUCAGAGCUUGGGGGAGCUGUGGUGGUGGUGCAAAGCAGGAAAGGGUGUUCUUUUUAUGGGCUAUGAUAUCACAGGGUGUUUGUCACCGAGGGUGGGGAGCAAAGGGAGAGCUGGGAAUGGGACAAAACAUCCACUUUAAUAAUUAUAAAUAAAUAUUAAACACCAUCAAGGUGGUCUCUGAUAAUCCUCAGAGCUUGGGGGAGCUGUGGUGGUGCCCUGGGGUGGGGGAAGGAGGGAAGGGUAUUCCCUCUCUGGGCUGGGAUAUCGCGGGGUGUUUGUCACCGAGGGUGGGGAGCAAAGGGAGAGCUGGGAGUGGGAUAAAACAUCCACUUUAAUAAUUAUAAAUAAAUAUUAAACACCAUCAAGGUGGUCUCUGAUAAUCCUCAGAGCUUGGGGGAGCUGGGGUGGUGCCCUGGGGUGGGGGAAGGAGGGAAGGGUAUUCUCUGGGCUGGGAUAUUGCGGGGUGUUUGUCACUGAGGGUGGGGAGCAAAGGGAGAGCUGGGAGUAGGACAAAACAUCCACUUUAAUAAUUAUAAAUAAAUAUUAAACACCAUCAAGGUGGUCUCUGAUGAAAUUAAUCCUCAGAGCUUGGGGGAGCUGUGGUGGUGGUGCAAAGCAGGAAAGGGUGUUCUUUUUAUGGGCUAUGAUAUCACAGGGUGUUUGUCACUGAGGGUGGGCAGCAAAGGGAGAGCUGGGAAUGGGACAAAACAUCCACCUCAAUAAUUAUAAAUAAAUAUUAAACAGCAUCAAGGUGGUCUCUGAUAAUCCUCAGAGCUUGGGGGAGCUGUGGUGCUGGUGCCAAGCAGGGAAGAGUGUUCCCUUUUAUGGGCUGGGAUAUCGCGGGGUGUUUUGUCACUGAGGGUGGGCAGCAAAGGGAGAGCUGGGAAUGGGACAAAACAUCCACCUCAAUAAUUAUAAAUAAAUAUUAAACAGCA